AGGGUUACUCAUCCCUUUUGAAGAAAAACCAUCCGGUCUUAUUGGAGUUCUUCCUGCUUGCCUCCUUCCAGGUUCAAGCUCUUGUCGGUUUUGAGAGACCCUUAAGCACCUUGAUGAACAUUUGGUUGACAUUAGCUCAGAGGGAAUCACUAAGCCCAAGGAAGUGAUAAAGUUCAAAGGCGAAGGAAUGCCAUUGCAUUUUAGCAACAAGAAAGGAGACCUUUUUGUCACAUUUGAGGUUCUGUUUCCCACAUCUCUUACAGAAGAUCAGAAGAAGAAAAUCAAGGGAGUUCGAGGAAAAUCAGGAGCAAAGGCUUUACUUUCUUCUCCGUACCUUUUCCACCGUUGAUUAACAAGUAGUGCAGAGCCCAAAGAUGUUUCUUGCUGUAGUUCAUUCCGUUGUCCAUCAUACUGUUGGCUUCCUCGGACGAUUUUUUUUUGCCCCUAUGUGUUACAGUGCAAAUUGCGACACUAAAAAUUUCAUUAUAAAUUAAACCAUGUUAAAAAUGUAGUUAUAUCUUAUUCA